GCCCUGGUGGCUCAGAUGGUAAAGCGUCUGCCUACAGUGUAGGAGACCCAGGUUCAAUCCCUGGAUUGGGAA
rnacentral:tRNA from 1 species